rnacentral:tRNA from 1 species
GCUGAAGUGGUGAAAUUGGUAAACACGCCAGGUUCAGGGUCUGGUGAGCAAUAUGCUCUUAAGGGUUCGACUCCCUUCUUCAGCACCA